CAUUUUGGAACUGGUCUCUGCUUGCUGCAUUCUUCUCUUUUUUAGCUGAAGAGUGUGACUAGUGAAUAAAGCUGCAGCAGGACUCCUAGAGCUCCCUUAAGCGACAAUGUGCUUAAUGAGAUCAACAGAGUGAAACAUGAGUAAAACAGUCUGACAGUACAGUGAAGGUGUCCCAAUGUUAACGGUGCAAUACCCCAGCUUCCUGUCUGUCAAUGUAAAAACAGAACAUAUGAUCACGAAUAAUCAAAUCACAGUGCAGCUGGUGUGGUUCUAUUGAAAUGAGAUAUGUUCCACAGUAUCUCCAGCACCCUCUAAAUCAUUAGAGACAGUUACAAUUUCAACGUGAGGAGCAAAUGAUUAAAUCCACAUGCAAAAAUUAAGCUCGCUGAAAUAUUGGAGAAAGUUUUACAAGCACUCCAUGGGAUGUUGACUGCUUCUUUCUUUUAUAGUGUGCACCCAUUCCUAUCUCUGGGAGCACUGGCAUGAAAUUAUAUCUGUAUGCAAAUGUUUUCAAAACUACCAAAAAGAAAAAAACCCAAACAGGAACCAUCUCUACUUUUUCUUCCCUGAUUCCCAAAUACUAAACCUAUUCAAGUAGCUUACUCACAAAGUUUGAGCAAAUAGGGCUUGCUGAUAGCCUGGAUGGUAAAGAAAUCUGGGCAUGGCUGAG